GGGGCAUCCGGGGUCGAAGGGAGAAGGAGAAAGAAGACUCUGGCUCGCAAGAGCCAUAGCCGCAAGACGGUCGUCGAGGGGGCCGACGGCUCCGAGGAAGACCUGGGGGAAAAUCCCUUCAACAACAGGGAUUUAAUAAGAGGCUGGUCGAAGGGUGCAUUCUGCCCGAGAUAGUCCAGAGGAUCGUCCUUGUGGAUCCAGAGCUGCGGGUCUGGGAC
rnacentral:lncRNA from 1 species